CUGGGCCUCUGGCAGUCUCUAUGGGGGUGCCAUAGGGUUCAAUUCUUGGGCCGACUCUUCUCUGUAUACAUCAAUGAUGUCGCUCUUGCUGCUGGUGAGUCUCUGAUCCACCUCUACGCAGACGACACCAUUCUGUAUACUUCUGGCCCUUCUUUGGACACUGUGUUAACUACCCUCCAGACGAGCUUCAAUGCCAUACAACUCUCCUUCCGUGGCCUUCGAUUGCUCUUAAAUACAAGUAAAACUAAAUGUAUGCUCAUUGGUCACUGAUUUUGAAUGCUUGUUUUGUUGUCGUAGGGUUGGGAGGAGGACAUGCUGCCUGAGGAGAGGGAGGUUCCUCUGGUAAACCUCUACCUAACCACCAAGAGAGUGGAGGACAUCGCCCUGAGGCUCGUCUCCCUGCGCCAGGCCUUCACUACCCUGCUUGGUUCCACCCUGAGCAGGAACCAUCUGUUUGUGGCGGGAAAGGUCCUCCUGGGCGCCCUGGUUCGGGCCAACCACAUGGUAACUCACUAACGCAUUCUCUGUCAAGGGAAAGAGAGCGCCCCUGAGGUGAAAUGUGUUCUGUUCACUAAGAUGCU